AAAGUUGAUCGAGAUGAGUUUCUUACCACAAAGAAAUAUUAUAUUUCCUCAUAGAACGACCUCAUAAAAAUCUCAGUACAUUCAAUUAAAUAAUACAAGAAAACGACUAACAAGGCUGGUCUAUUAUUAUUACUGGUAAUUACUGGUACAUGCUUUCCUGUUAUCCAACUGAGCUAAGCAUGUGACUAAUAGUAAUCUCGCAACGCCUGGUUCCCAGUUGAGCGUGGCAACCAUUAGCCUAUACGAUGUAGACCCCAGCAGAAACACGUUUCGUGACGUAGGCUGGGCAAGCUUUUCUUCGUUUAUUCGUAGACCCCUCACGAAACGUGUUUCUGCUGGGGUCUACACCGUAGACUAGGCGACCAUGCUAUUCAUGGUGGUCAAUGAAUACAGAAUGUCCAUGUAAUAAAGGCAGGGUUUUUUAUAGUACACCGUUAAAAAGAAGAUAAGUACAUCAGCUACUGACCAAACAUGGCCGAUCAUGAAUUUGUUAAGCCAAAGUUAAACCAAAUGGAAAUCAUUCUUAUAUACAUUUAUAUAAAGACAAUAACAUGCACUAAUCCUUUAAACAGAAUGCACAUCAGCUCCUCCCCCCCCCCCC